ACUAGCAUAUCAAUAAGCGGAGGAAAAGAAACUAACAAGGAUUCCCAUAGUAACUGCGAGUGAAGCGGGAAGAGCUCAAAUUUGAAAUCUGGCAGUUGUUGACUGUCCGAGUUGUAAUCUAGAGAAGUGUUACCAGUGCUGGACCGUGUACAAGUCUCCUGGAAUGGGGCAUCAUAGAGGGUGAGAAUCCCGUCUUUGGCACGGACUACCUGUACAUCAUGGUACGCUCUCAAAGAGUCGAGUUGUUUGGGAAUGCAGCUCAAAAUGGGUGGUAAAUGCCAUCUAAAGCUAAAUAUUGGCGAGAGACCGAUAGCGAACAAGUACCGUGAGGGAAAGAUGAAAAGAACUUUGGAAAGAGAGUUAAACAGUACGUGAAAUUGCUGAAAGGGAAACGCUUGAAGUCAGUCACGUUGGCUAGAAAUCAGCCUUGCUCUUGCUUGGUGUACUUUCUGGUUGAUGGGUCAGCAUCAAUUUUGAUCAUUGGAUAAAGGUCAUUGGGAAUACUCCCUGUGUCGUAAUACAGUGGUUGGGAUUGAGGAAUUCAGCACGCCGCAAGGCAGGGUUUCGACCACGUUCGUGCUUAGGAUGCUGGCAUAAUGGCUUUAAUCGACCCGUCUUGAAACACGGACCAAGGAGUCUAACAUGCCUGCGAGUGUUUGGGUGGAAAACCCAUGCGCGUAAUGAAAGUGAAAGUUGAGAUCCCCUUCAAACAGGGAGCAUUGACGCCCGGACCAGAGCUUUUGUGACGGAUCCGCGGUAGAGCAUGUAUGUUGGGACCCGAAAGAUGGUGAACUAUGCCUGAAUAGGGUGAAGCCAGAGGAAACUCUGGUGGAGGCUCGUAGCGAUUCUGACGUGCAAAUCGAUCGUCAAAUUUGGGUAUAGGGGCGAAAGACUAAUCGAACCAUCUAGUAGCUGGUCCUGCGG
rnacentral:rRNA from 1 species